CAAGUUCUGGCAGGGAGAUACCUUGAUCAGGAAGGAGGUUUUCCCAGGGCAAAGCUCAUCCACUGCACUCCAGAUGUGCUGACCCUUGAGAUUUCUCAUAAUGUGGGAAACUCAACUGCAUAAUUUGUGGUAGUGGGGACUGAGUUCUCGGUCCAUC
ensembl:snRNA U1 U1 spliceosomal RNA